AAAAGAUGAAAAAAGAAGAAAAGAUACAGAGCCUUGCACUUGUAUGUCAGGAAAAGCUGGACUUUCAACAUUUGGUGGGUUGGUCGGACAGUCGAUGAUGGUACAAAAAAUAUGUAUAUUUCCUGUCAAUCUGGCUGGCUGAAGGAGGAUAAAGUUACUUUAGUGAAGGUGGAGCGGUAACAUCAACCGCUUUCAUCUGUGGGGCUACAAGUUGCAUCAAAUUAUAGCAUGUGGAACUACUGAAGGAGGAAUAAUGGACAAGGCACCAAUGAAAAGUAAUGGUAGUGUGAUAAAUUUGUCUUUACACAAGUAAGGUGAACCAAGACAAGACCAGAACAGGCCAGACCAAACCAAGAAUGGUGUUCUUGAAAAAAAUGAUGCUGUUUUAUCAUGUGUGUUUAUAAGAGAAGCUAUCAUGACUGUAAUGCUCUUCCAUAGCUUUUCUCAAGAAUGCAGAGAAUUAGAGAUGCAGCUCUUCACACUAACAGAGAAUCAGAGCUGCAAUAAUUUUUUUUUUUUUACUUUUAUCUUUUUUGAAAUCAAUCAAAGGUACGAAGAACUUUGUAGUUGAGAUAUUGAUCAUUGAGUUCUCCGGAUACUGUAAUUCCAUUUCCCUACCAACAUGUCGUGAGUGUUUAUUAUCCCAGUUUUGCUUUGGGCUGCAAGCAUCACCUUGGUCUAUGCUAUAUAUCUUGUAUUGAACGGGGCUCUUUCAGGUUAUCUUGGGUGUCAGCUAGUUGCUUCUUUUCCUAGAUUCAUCAAUUUCUGAGUGUAUCCAAAUAUCUACAAAGCGAUUAUAUGCAUUAAGUAUGAUCUUUCGGAUCCAUACCGAUCCAUGCCCUGCUUAUACUCAUAUCAAGCAUGUUUGGCCCGUAAACAUGGCAGCAAUAUUCAUGUCAGUCCAACUUGCAAGAUUGAGAGUUUUGCUUGGACUUGGACCUGCGUCGGUAUAAUUCAUUGGAGACCUCUACAACUUUGUUAUUCAAUUUUACACAUUUGACGUGUUCCUGUACAUAAAUGUAUUUCUUCCAGUUCAUGCAUUGUAUCAGAAAGGGCAAAAGUGAAACAACUCAUUGCAAUGGGCUGGAUCAGUUAAGAGAAGACAGGACAGGACAUGGCUAUCGCCUUGGGGUAUCACCAGCAAUAUAAAUUCAACAAAAGAGCAUUCAGUUACAUGUAUUGAUGCUCAUUUAAGCUCAAUAACUGCAAAAUGCUACAAAAUUUUCGAGUAUUCCCACUACACGGAAUCAUGUACGCUGAUUCUAUUGGUGGUUUCGUUUUGAGAUAAACAUAAACUGGCUUUCUCAAC